rnacentral:sRNA from 1 species
UUGCUGUGGGACUACUGUCAAUGACGUG